UACAGAGGUCUCAAGCGUUUGUUCGGAUUCAUUGGGCGUAAAGGGUGCGUAGGUGGCGCCAUAAGUCAGGUGUGAAAUCUCGGGGCUCAACCCCGAAACUGCAUUUGAUACUGUGGUGCUCGAGUACUGGAGAGGAGAUUGGAAUUUACGGUGUAGCAGUGAAAUGCGUAGAUAUCGUAAGGAAGACCAGUGGCGAAGGCGAAUCUCUGGACAGUUACUGACACUGAGGCACGAAAGCCAGGGGAGCAAACGGG
rnacentral:rRNA from 1 species